ensembl:misc_RNA
UUUACAGUCCUGGAGAGUGAAGUUGAUUGAUCAACAGAACUGGAAAAGCAGCGGUAGCAGCAUCACAGGCUUUCCCCACCUUGCCCUUCCAAUUUCCAUCAACCUUGCACUCGAGGGACCACCUCUAGGGUCAGGAAGCUAGUUCAGCCUUUAAGCUCAAAUUAUUUAAUUCU